rnacentral:lncRNA from 1 species
AACAAAAAUUGCAAAAGUGCUAUCUUGCCUAUCUCAAGAAGCAAAACUUGCAUAUCGUAAAAAUUUGCUAGCUUGCAACUUGCAUAUUUCAAGAAGCAAGAGUUGCCUUCUUGAACAUCUCUAAAUUGCUAGCUUGCAAGUUCUAAAAUGUUGCAACAUUGCUAGCUUGCAUGUUAUAAAAGUGCUAUCUUGUAUGCUGUAAAACUU